UACGUAGGGGGCGAGCGUUGUCCGGAGUUACUGGGCGUAAAGGGCACGCAGGCGGUACGGCGCGUUUCGCGUGACAGCGGAGGGCUUAACUCUCCGAGGAUGCGAAAGACGGCGGCACUUGAGGGCCAGAGAGGGACACGGAAUUCCGGGUGGAGUGGUGAAAUGCGUAGAGAUCCGGAGGAACACCGAAGGCGAAGGCAGUGUCCUGGCUGGUGACUGACGCUGAGGUGCGAAAGCUAGGGGAGCGAACGGG
rnacentral:rRNA from 1 species